GACGUAGGUGGCAAGCGUUAUCCGGAUUUACUGGGCGUAAAGCGUGUGCAGGCGGGGGUACAAGUGGUGUAUGAAAUUUCCCAGCUUAACUGGGAAGGGUUAUGCCAGACUGUACUUCUGGAGUGCGAGAGAGGGGCGUGGAAUUCCGGGUGUAGUGGUGAAAUGCGUAGAGAUCCGGAGGAACCCCAGAGGCGAAGGCGGCGCCCUGGCUCGCAACUGACGCUCAGACACGACAGCAUGGGGAGCGAACGGG
rnacentral:rRNA from 1 species